CUGACCUCUCCCACUCGUGAUGGGGAAUGGAAGGGAGAGGUCUGGGAGGAGAAAGCAGCAGGGCAUGCACUCAGUGCAGAAAUGGAAGCUCCAUGAGAGCAGGGGAUUUCUUUAAAAUUAAAAAAAAGGUUUUUUUAACUGUGUAAAGGACACAUAAAAUUUACAAUCGUUACUGUCCCUAAGUGUACAGUUUAGUAGUGUCAAAUAUAUUCACACAGUGGUACAACCAAUCUUUAGAAGUUUUUCAUCUGGUAAACCUGAUGCUCUAUAUUCAUUAAGCAAUAACUCUGCAUCCCUUCCUCCCCCAGCCCCAGGCAUUCAUCACUCUACUUUCUGUCUCUAUGAAACUGACUACUCUAGGUGCCUCAUAUGGAUGACACUUGGGUUGCUUCCACCUCUUGGCUCUUGUGAAUAAUACUGCUGUGAGCAUGUGUAUGCAGAUAUCACCUCAAGAUUCUGCUUUCAGUUCUUUUGGAUAAAUACCCAGAAGUGGAAUUGAUGGAUCAUGUGAUAAUUCUGUAAUAGAGAACAAACCUGACUCCAUGUUGGAUUUAUUGCUUUAGCUCUAACCCUUGUGCUUUGUGGCUGGUGCUUAGUCUUGCUGGCUCUGCACCUUUGUAAAAGAAUGUUGCCUAUAGCCUGAAAUGUACAGGGUAGCCUAUUCUCAGGGCUCUGACCUUGAAAGGUAUAACCCUUUCUCAUUCAUACAGAGACAAAAAGUUGCAGAAAAGAGAAUAACAUUUGUCUUGAUUGAGGAACGUUAUGACCAGAUCUACGGGGAUCGUUGCAAGAACAAAGGAUUCUGGCACCAAGAAAUUGUCACCAACCAACCACACCCCCUACCCUUGUAGUAUAAAAGAAGCCUGAAUUCUGACUCAGAAGUACUGGAAGAGAAUUUGAGCUCCAGUGACUCAAGCUAUAAAACCUCUUCCUCUCCUCCUGCCUGGCAGGACCCCAGAAGAGAUCUCCAAGACAUUUGUCUGUCUGCCUGGCUUGUGGACUCAGCACACCCUCUUAGUUUGGCAGAGAGCAAGGUAGGAAUAAGGAGAAGAGUCUAUCCUCGGCCCUUCUCUGGAGAGUCACUUGUGCCAUAAUUCUGGUGACAUCCAACCAUGGGGUUCAGUUGACCUUGGGAGACCCUGGAAGUAUAUUUUAAGAGGAAGGCUAGGCAUCCUGAAGA